rnacentral:lncRNA from 1 species
AUGGGUGCAUGUCCCCGCACGUGUCCCCGCGGCCCCUCAAGGCCGGUGGCCACCAGCCGGCCCCGCAGGGCACGGCCGGGGAAUGUCACCGCAGGGCACGGCCAGGGAAUGUCACCGCAGGGCCGGCCGGGCCGGCUCAGCCACCCUGAGUCACCGGUCCCCCCGCUUGGGCCGCGGGCGCUGGCGUCACCCCGGCAGGAUGGGGCUGAGUCACUUCCUUCCAGCAACGGGGCCGGGGCCACGCGGGUGUGCGUGCGGGAACGGGGCCGGGGCCGGUGCCGCCCCGGUGGGACGCCCCGGUGGGACGCGCCGCACGCCGCCCCAGCGCCUCCCGCACCCGCCUGCCCCCGUGCUGAGGACAGCGCGCUCCUGCAGGGUCCCGCCAUGGCCACGCUGUUGACACCGCCGGCGCUGCCGGUGCUGGUCCUGCUGGUGCUGCCCAGCUGGGGGGCGGCUGCCGGGACCCCCCCGGGCGACGCCGAGCCGCUGGAGGCCCUCGGGGCCCUGCUGUCGUCGGGCACCGGCUCCCUGCCCCGUGGAGCCGUGGAGUCCCUCGUGGGCACCGCCGCGGCCCGUGCGCACUGCGGUGCCGGGCCGUGCGGAAAGGUAAGCGCCGCGCCGCCGGGCCGUGUGGAAAGGCAGGGCGGGCGCCACGGGUCAAACUCCGGCACGGCACGGCGCGGCGCGGCACGGCGCGGGGUGGCGUGGCGCCACACAGCACCCUGCUGCGGGGCUCGGCACGGCUCGGCACGGCACGGCUUGGGUUGGCACGGCACGGCUCCUGCUGCCCCACGGCGGCCCCACGCUGAACGAUGUCCCCUCUGGCACCCACCCCGGUCCCUGCUGUGGGGCAGGGGGCGCCGUGGGUGCAGGGGGAGGCGCUGCUGGGUGCGGGGGUCCCGCUGCCCCACGGGGUGCGUGGGGGGUUCUGACCCACGGGGCGGCCCCCAGGUGCACACAGCGCUGUGCCAAGCGGUGCCAAGUGGUGCUGUGCCACACGGUGCUGUGCUGUGCCGUGCCGUGCCAUGCCAUGCCGUGCCGUGCCAUGCCAUGCCAUGCCAUGCCGUGCCGUGCCAAGCCGUGCCGUGCCGUGCCGUGCCGUGCGCAGCGUGUGCCCGCUGCGUGUGCACCCCAGUGCCGGGUGCCACCGGCACACCCCACAGCCAAACCCGCGUGUGGGGCACGUGGGGGUGCAGCGUGCGAAGCGCGGGCACCGUGCGUGCCCCACGCACACCCCACACACCCCACGCACACCCCACGUGUGCCAGGCUCUGCGCCGUGGGGCUCUGGGUGCCCAGCGGGUCCCAGGGGCUCCGUGUGGGGCUGGGGGCCUGGCGGGCUUCUGGGGGGGGGUGAGGGCCCCUGGGGGUGCAGGGCCAGCCCCACAGCCCUGUCCCCAUGUCCCCAUCCCCCUGUCCCUAUGGCCCCAUGUCUGUGUCCCCAUAUCCACACAGCCCUGUCCCCCACAUCCCCAUGUCCCUGUCCCCACGUCCCUGUCCCCAUGUCCCCCUGUCCCCACAUCCCUUUCCCGUACCCACGUCUGUCCCCCCGUCCCCACAUCCCUGUCCCAACAUCCAACCCCCUGUCCCCGUGGCCCUAUCCUCACACCCCUGUCCCUACGUC